GAUCAUGGGGGGAUCGCCACCGGCCAGCGCGUUGCGCCCGUCGGUGCCGAUUUG
rnacentral:sRNA from 1 species